ACCAUGAGAGUUGGAAAUACCCGAAGCCUGUGAGCUAACUUAAAGAGGCAGCAGUCGAAGGUAGAGCCAAUGAUUGGGUGAAGUCGUAACAAGGUACC
rnacentral:rRNA from 1 species